CCCCGGUAAACGGCGGCCGUAACUAUAACGGUCCUAAGGUAGCGAAAUUCCUUGUCGGGUAAGUUCCGACCUGCACGAAUGGCGUAAUGAUGGCCACGCUGUCUCCACCCGAGACUCAGUGAAAUUGAAAUCGCUGUGAAGAUGCAGUGUACCCGCGGCUAGACGGAAAGACCCCGUGAACCUUUACUACAGCUUGGCACUGAACAUUGAACCUACAUGUGUAGGAUAGGUGGGAGGCUUUGAAGACGUGACGCCAGUUGCGUUGGAGCCGUCCUUGAAAUACCACCCUUGUAUGUUUGAUGUUCUAACGUUGGCCCCUAAUCGGGGUUGCGGACAGUGCCUGGUGGGUAGUUUGACUGGGGCGGUCUCCUCCCAAAGAGUAACGGAGGAGCACGAAGGUGGGCUAAUCACGGUUGGACAUCGUGAGGUUAGUGCAAUGGCAUAAGCCCGCUUAACUGCGAGAAUGACGGUUCGAGCAGGUGCGAAAGCAGGUCAUAGUGAUCCGGUGGUUCUGAAUGGAAGGGCCAUCGCUCAACGGAUAAAAGGUACUCCGGGGAUAACAGGCUGAUACCGCCCAAGAGUUCAUAUCGACGGCGGUGUUUGGCACCUCGAUGUCGGCUCAUCACAUCCUGGGGCUGAAGUCGGUCCCAAGGGUAUGGCUGUUCGCCAUUUAAAGUGGUACGCGAGCUGGGUUUAGAACGUCGUGAGACAGUUCGGUCCCUAUCUGCCGUGGGCGUUGGAAGAUUGAAGGGGGCUGCUCCUAGUACGAGAGGACCGGAGUGGACGAACCUCUGGUGUUCGGGUUGUGUCGCCAGACGCAUUGCCCGGUAGCUAAGUUCGGAAUCGAUAACCGCUGAAAGCAUCUAAGCGGGAAGCGAGCCCUGAGAUGAGUCUUCCCUGAUACUUUAAGUAUCCUAAAGGGUUGUUCGAGACUAGAACGUUGAUAGGCAGGGUGUGUAAGCGCUGUGAGGCGUUGAGCUAACCUGUACUAAUUGCCCGUGAGGCUUAACCAUACAACAC
rnacentral:rRNA from 1 species